AAGUGGUUUGACACCAACUACCAUUACAUUGUUCCUGAACUGGGACCAGAUGUUAAGUUCUCUUAUGCAUCUCACAAGGCUGUUGAUGAGUAUAAGGAGGCUAAAGCUCUUGGAAUUGAGACUGUGCCCGUCAUUGUGGGUCCUGUUUCCUAUUUGCUUCUAUCCAAACCAGCGAAGGGUGUGGAGAAAUCCUUUUCUCUUCUUUCCCUGAUUGACAAAAUUCUUCCUGUCUACAAGGAAGUUGUGGCUGAACUAAAGGCAGCUGGUGCACGCUGGAUUCAGUUUGAUGAGCCCAAGCU
rnacentral:misc_RNA from 1 species